CCUACGGGAGGCAGCAGUGAGGAAUAUUGGUCAAUGGCCGCAAGCCUGAACCAGCCAAGUCGCGUGAAGGAUGACGGUCCUAUGGGUUGUAAACCUCUUUUGUCAGGGAGCAAAGUGCGCCACGUGUGGCGUUUUGCGAGUACCUGAAGAAAAAGCAUCGGCUAACUCCGUGCCAGCAGCCGCGGUAAUACGGAGGAUGCGAGCGUUAUCCGGAUUUAUUGGGUUUAAAGGGUGCGCAGGCGGAAUGUAAAGUCAGCGGUAAAAUUUCGGGGCUCAACCCCGUCGUGCCGUUGAUACUGGCGGUCUUGAGUGAGCGUGAGGUAGGCGGAAUGCGUGGUGUAGCGGUGAAAUGCAUAGAUAUCACGAAGAACCCCGAUUGCGAAGGCAGCAUAC
rnacentral:rRNA from 1 species